GUAUCUGAGGUCCAGUGACCCCGAGAAAUUUAAUAUGAGAAGACACCAUGAAUGAAAUAUUAAUAUUUUAAAAUCAAGUACAAAGAGAAGAUUGCCUGUGAGUGGUUAUUCUCUUCAGUUGUCCAAUAGCUGUUAUUUAUCAAAUUAACACCAAAACAUUCAAACACUCUAAAAAUGAAUAGCUUCGCUUUAUAAGGAGAGUUGUGAAAACUUAUUAAGAACUCCUGCACAUAUUAUUAAAAGAUACCAUUUACACGUGAGAGUAAUUAUAAUGAAAUAUAUUAAAUGUCCGAAAGUAGCACCAUGUGGCAGAAUUAUCAGGAAAAGAAAUCGAAUUAGUACUGGAAGAAGACAUUCAAAUAAGAGAAUUACAUUUUCAAGACUCCUGCCCCUGCCAUGAGAACACGCCCUUUCCAGUUUGCUGGAGAAAUAUAAGAGAAGUCCAGUGAAAGAGAGCUGAAUUUCCCCAAUGAUGCCAUCAAGAUGAACUAACUACAGUUAACCAGCCAGCUGAUAGCAGAUGCAUGAGUGAGCCCAGCUGAGAGCAGGUGAAACCGAAAUUGACUAUAUCGUUUGAAACUUCAUCUGUGAAGUCCCUGGUGGUUUCCUAGAUGACUUCACAGUUGAGUUGCCUCUGAUUGGAAAAGCAGUGUUUUUGUUUUUCAGUUUGUACAAGAGGAAGAAGACGCAUGAUAUGUGUUUGGCUCAUGUGCCUGAAUAUGGCUCCACAGGGAAGACU
rnacentral:lncRNA from 1 species